rnacentral:lncRNA from 1 species
AACAGAGAGAGAGAUUUUGUCUCAGCUUGAUCACCCGUUCUUGCCCACGUUAUACUCUCACUUCGAGACCGAUAAACACUAUUGCUUGGUCAUGGAGUUUUGCGGCGGUGGCAAUCUCUAUUCCUUGAGACAGAAGCAACCUAACAAGUGCUUCACCGAAGAAGCAGCGAGGUUAGUAUCAAAGGAGUGUAGGAAGAAACAGAACAUUUCUCUGUAGAAUUCAAAAAUCGAUAUAAUUUAGGGUUUUCUUUAAUUUCUUACAGAUUCUUUGCUUCCGAAGUGCUAUUGGCAUUGGAGUACUUGCACAUGCUCGGAAUCGUAUACCGAGAUUUGAAGCCGGAGAAUGUUCUGGUAAGAGACGACGGACACAUUAUGCUUUCCGAUUUCGAUUUAUCUCUCCGAUGCUCAGUCAGUCCAA